rnacentral:rRNA from 1 species
CCAAGGAGAGUAACAUGUGCGCAAGUCAAUGGGCGUUACGAAACCCAAAGGCGUAGUGAAAGUGAAUGUUCGACUUGUUCGGACUGAGGUGAGAUCCUGGCGUUUCUCACGCGUGGUAUCACCAUGCCCUUGAGCGUCAGGCGCAUCACCGGCCCGUCCCAUGGUGUGGGUGCUCUCUUCGGAGUUGUGCCUCAUCGGGGUGGAGCAUGAGCGUGCAUGUUGAGACCCGAAAGAUGGUGAACUAUGCUUGCAAAGGUUGAAGCCAGAGGAAACUCUGGUGGAGGACCGCAGCGAUUCUGACGUGCAAAUCGAUCGUCAAAUGUGAGUAUAGGGGCGAAAGACUAAUCGAACCAUCUA